rnacentral:rRNA from 1 species
UACGUAGGGUGCGAGCGUUGUCCGGAAUUAUUGGGCGUAAAGAGCUUGUAGGCGGUUUGCCGCGUCUGCUGUGAAAAUCCGGGGCUCAACCCCGGACUUGCAGUGGGUACGGGCAGACUAGAGUGUGGUAGGGGAGACUGGAAUUCCUGGUGUAGCGGUGAAAUGCGCAGAUAUCAGGAGGAACACCGAUGGCGAAGGCAGGUCUCUGGGCCACUACUGACGCUGAGAAGCGAAAGCAUGGGGAGCGAACAGG